AUGAACGCUAGCGACAGGCCUAACACAUGCAAGUCGAGGGGCAGCACAAGGAGCAAUCUGAGGUGGCGACCGGCGCACGGGCGAGUAACACGUAUGCAACCUGCCUGUAAGCGGGGAAUAACCCGUUGAAAGACGGACUAAUACCGCAUAAUACUAAAUUACUGCAUGGUAAUUUAUUUAAACAUUUAUGGCUUACAGAUGGGCAUGCGCAUGAUUAGCUAGUUGGAGAGGUAACGGCUCCCCAAGGCAACGAUCAUUAGGGGUUCUGAGAGGAAGGUCCCCCACACUGGUACUGAGACACGGACCAGACUCCUACGGGAGGCAGCAGUGAGGAAUAUUGGUCAAUGGACGAGAGUCUGAACCAGCCAAGUCGCGUGCAGGAAGAAUGUCCUUAAUGGAUUGUAAACUGCUUUUGCAGGGGAAUAAAGUGCAUCACGUGUGAUGUUUUGUAUGUACUCUGCGAAUAAGGAUCGGCUAACUCCGUGCCAGCAGCAGC
rnacentral:rRNA from 1 species